GCGUCUGUUCGUGGAAAAUUUUGCUGCAGGUGUCAGAAGCCUGCGUUGAGCUCCGCUCAGGGUCUCUCUGUGUAAACCUGGCUAUCCUGAAACUCACUAUGUGGACCAGGCUAGUCUGGACCCCCCCAGAGAUCUGCUUGCCUCUGCUUUCAGAGUACUGGAAUCAAAGAACCCAGGGAACUCCCUCAGAAGAGGAGCCAGAAAGAAUGUAAGAGCAGACAGGAUGGAGGACUGCAAGAAAGCAAGGCCCUCUAAAUCAACAUGAGCAAAGCUCAUAUGAACUCACAGAGACUGAGGCAGCAUGCACAGGGCCUGCAUGAGUCUGCACCAGGUCCUCCACACAUAUAUUAUGGCUUCUACUUUAAUGGGAUUCCUGAUGAGCAAAUGAAUGGGUCUUUGAUUCUUGUGCCUUCUGUUGGGCUCUUUUCCUUCUCUUACCCAACUUUGAUGUGAUAGUUUUUAUCUUAUUAUAUUUGAUUUUGUUGUAUUUUA
rnacentral:lncRNA from 1 species